GAUCAACGCUGGCGGCGUGCCUCAGACAUGCAAGUCGAACGAUUAAAGCUCUCUUCGGAGAGUGUAUAGAGUGGCGCACGGGUGAGUAACACGUAAGUAAUCUACCCUCGAGUGGGGAAUAACAACCGGAAACGGUUGCUAAUACCGCAUAAUGCAGCGGCACCGCAAGGUGACAGUUGUUAAAGAUUUAUCGCUUGAGGAGGAGCUUGCGGCAGAUUAGCUAGUUGGUAGGGUAACGGCUUACCAAGGCUACGAUCUGUAACCGGUCUAAGAGGACGGUCGGUCACACUGACACUGAAUAACGGGUCAGACUCCUACGGGAGGCAGCAGUCGGGAAUUUUGGGCAAUGGGCGAAAGCCUGACCCAGCAACGCCGCGUGAAGGAUGAAGUAUUUCGGUAUGUAAACUUCGAAAGAAUAGGAAGAAUUAAUGACGGUACUAUUUAUAAGGUCCGGCUAACUACGUGCCAG
rnacentral:rRNA from 1 species